GCUGGAGUGCAGUGGCGAGAUCGCAGCUCACUGCAAGCUCUGCCUCCCGGGUCCACGCCAUUCUCCUGCCUCAGCCUCCUGAGUAGCUGGGACUACAGGCGCCUGCCACCACGUCUGGCUAAUUGCUUUAACACUUUUUUGGGAGAGGGGUGUGGCAACAGUAAAGCUUUCUACAUGUUAAACAGAAUGAACAAAACCAACGCAGAGCAGUGACUUCCUGCCAGAGAGAGCAGAAGGAGACCCUUAUAGAACAGCUGUUCCACUGCUCCAAAGGCCUCGUGUGGUUCUAUCCCUUGGACUGCCUUUCUUCAACAGCCCAGACACCUGCUCCGUCAGAUUUAUAAGCCACAACCCCUAGAGCCAUGCCAAUCAAAGCAUGGCCCGCAGACCUGUGCCAGCCUCCGAACCUGUUUGUUACUGAUUUGGAGCAAGAUGGGGACAGAAAUUGAGAGCCAGAGUU